AAAAAAAAAAAUGAUAUUAGAAACCUCUAUCAUUUUUGAAGACCUAUCCAUAGAUACCCCACACGUAUGGGUUUGAUGAAAUUUUUUUUUUUUGAGCGAUUUAUGACGUAUUAAAAAAAAACUACUUACUAGAUCUCGUUCAAACCAAUUUUCGGUGGAAGUUUACAUGGUAAUAUACAUCAUAUAUUUUUUUUAGUUUUAUCAUUCUGUUAUUUUAGAAGUUACAGGGGGGGGGGGGGGGGGACACAUUUUACCACUUUGGAAGUGUCUCUCGCGCAAACUAUUCAGUUUAGAAAAAAAUGAUAUUAGAAACCUCAAUAUCAUUUUUGAAGACCUAUCCAUAGAUACCCCACACGUAUGGGUUUGACGAAAAAAAAAAUUUGAGGGAUUUAUGACGUAUUAAAAAAAAACUACUUACUAGAUCUCGUUCAAACCAAUUUUCGGUGGAAGUUUGCAUAGUAAUGUACAUCAUAU